rnacentral:rRNA from 1 species
GUGGGGAAUCUUGCGCAAUGGGCGAAAGCCUGACGCAGCCAUGCCGCGUGAAUGAUGAAGGUCUUAGGAUUGUAAAAUUCUUUCACCGGGGACGAUAAUGACGGUACCCGGAGAAGAAGCUCCGGCUAACUUCGUGCCAGCAGCCGCGGUAAUACGAAGGGGGCUAGCGUUGCUCGGAAUUACUGGGCGUAAAGGGCGCGUAGGCGGACAGCUUAGUCAGAGGUGAAGGCUCAGGGCUCAACCUUGGAAUUGCCUUUGAUACUGGCUGUCUUGAGUUUGGGAGAGGUGAGUGGAACUCCGAGUGUAGAGGUGAAAUUCGUAGAUAUUCGGAAGAACACCAGUGGCGAAGGCGACUCACUGGCCCAAUACUGACGCUGAGGCGCGAAAGCGUGGGGAGCAAACAGGAUUAGAUACCCGGGUAGUCC